UACGUAGGGGCCGAGCGUUGUCCGGAGUUACUGGGCGUAAAGCGCGCGCAGGCGGCUCGUCAAGCCUGACGUGAAAGCCCCCGGCUCAACCGGGGAGGGUCGUCGGGGACUGGCGGGCUUGAGGUCGGCAGGGGUUGGUGGAAUUCCCGGUGUAGUGGUGAAAUGCGUAGAUAUCUGGAGGAACACCGGUGGCGAAGGCGGCAUCCUGGACCGACACUGACACUGAGGAGCGAAAGCCAGGGGAGCAAACGGG
rnacentral:rRNA from 1 species